rnacentral:rRNA from 1 species
AACGAACGCUUGCGGCAGGCUUAACACAUGCAAGUCGAGCGCCCCGCAAGGGGAACGGCAGACGGGUGAGUAACGCGUGGGAAUCUACCCAUCUCUACGAGAUAACGCAUGGAAGCGUGUGCUAAUACCGUAUACGUCCUUCGGGAGAAACAUUUAUCGGAGAUGGAUGAGCCCGCGUUGGAUUAGUUAGUUGGUGGGGUAAAGGCCUACCAAGGCGACGAUCCAUAGCUGGUCUGAGAGGAUGAUCAGCCACACUGGUACUGAGACACGGCCCAGACUCCUACGGGAGGCAGCAGUGGGGAAUAUUGGACAAUGGGCGCAAGUCUGAUCCAGCCAUGACGCGUGAGUGAUGAAGGCCCUAGGGUUGUAAAGCUCUUUCACCGGUGAAGAUAAUGACGGUAACCGGAGAAGAAGCCCCGGCUAACUUCGUGCCAGCCGCCGCGGUAAGAC